rnacentral:misc_RNA from 1 species
ACAAAUCCGAUAAUUGCUAAAGAUUAUUUUUUAGCAAAUAUUAAAUCGCCGGCUGGUUUAGGCUUAGGCUUAGGCUAGCUGGUGAGAUUAUAUAAAUGCGUGUUAUGUUGACAGUGUGAGUGAGAUUUAAAUUUAUUGA